CAGAAAGCCGAGCCGUCUGUAUUUUCGCAGCUCCAGGGUUUCGUAAGGCAGCAGACCAGGAGGGUGAGGUGUUGUUGGUAGGCUCUUUUUUUCAACCAUCCUGCUUCUCACACGUUGCAAGGUGAGCUGGUGUACGCCAUCAGGUCCGCCACACCAUACAUCCACUGCAGGAUGUACCACACCAAUGACCUUGUAACCCAGAGCCUUGCAAACACCUUGAUUUUAAUUCUGCAGUGGUGGCUAAUAGUCAAUAACUAUGUGAUAUGGAGUGAUGGUGACUGGGAGGACUUUGGCAAGUACUAGAACGCCACACUUCCUGUUGUGGCUGUUCAGUGACUUGCUGGUGAACAAGAUGGGUGGUGGUGAAUGACAGGUGGGGCCAAGGCAUCCCUGCUUCACAGCUCCUGACAACUACAA